rnacentral:rRNA from 1 species
UCUGGCUCAGAUUGAACGCUGGCGGCAGGCCUAACACAUGCAAGUCGAGCGGAUGACGGGAGCUUGCUCCUUGAUUCAGCGGCGGACGGGUGAGUAAUGCCUAGGAAUCUGCCUGGUAGUGGGGGACAACGUUUCGAAAGGAACGCUAAUACCGCAUACGUCCUACGGGAGAAAGCAGGGGACCUUCGGGCCUUGCGCUAUCAGAUGAGCCUAGGUCGGAUUAGCUAGUUGGUGGGGUAAUGGCUCACCAAGGCGACGAUCCGUAACUGGUCUGAGAGGAUGAUCAGUCACACUGGAACUGAGACACGGUCCAGACUCCUACGGGAGGCAGCAGUGGGGAAUAUUGGACAAUGGGCGAAAGCCUGAUCCAGCCAUGCCGCGUGUGUGAAGAAGGUCUUCGG